UACGGGGGGGGUAAGCGUUGUUCGGAAUUACUGGGCGUAAAGGGUGCGUAGGCGGCGCGGUAAGUCGGGUGUGAAAUCUCGGAGCUUAACUCCGAAACUGCAUUCGAUACUGCCGUGCUUGAGGACUGGAGAGGAGACUGGAAUUUACGGUGUAGCGGUGAAAUGCGUAGAUAUCGUAAGGAAGACCAGUGGCGAAGGCGGGUCUCUGGACAGUUCCUGACGCUGAGGCACGAAGGCCAGGGGAGCAAACGGG
rnacentral:rRNA from 1 species